rnacentral:rRNA from 1 species
CUACGGGGCGCUCCAGUGAGGAAUAUUGCAUAAUGGGGGGAACCCUGAUGCAGCAACGCCGCGUGGAGGAUGACGCAUUUCGGUGUGUAAACUCCUUUUAUAUGUCAAGAAAAUGACGGUAGCAUAUGAAUAAGCACCGGCUAACUCCGUGCCAGCAGCCGCGGUAAUACGGAGGGUGCAAGCGUUACUCGGAAUCACUGGGCGUAAAGGACGCGUAGGCGGGUUGGAAAGUCAGGUGUGAAAUCCUACAGCUUAACUGUAGAACUGCGCUUGAAACUUCUAAUCUAGAGUAUGGGAGGGGGAGAUGGAAUUAGUGGUGUAGGGGUAAAAUCCGUAGAUAUCACUAGGAAUACCUAAGGCGAAGGCGAUCUCCUGGAACAUUACUGACGCUAAGGCGUGAAAGCGUGGGGAGCAAACAGGAUUAGAUACCCCAGUAGUC